GAAGUGUUAUCUCACUUCACAUAUUUCUUCUAUUCUCAAUAGGGUUAAACCUGAAAACCAUCCCUGAACUUUAAGCGAGAUUUGAUUUCCGUCCUUCGCCGGAAAAUCUUCCUAGCGCCACCCUCAAACUACAUUUUUUGUUUGAAAACCGUCCUUGCCGCCGAUUUACCUCCGGUCACCGUGCCAACCGUCCUAUGUGGCCAUGCCACGUCAUUUCAUUAAAUGACGUGUCAUUUAAAUAAAAUAAAAAAAUUAAAAAUAAAUUUUUUAAAUUUCUAAUUAAGCCCCCUAAACUAAUAAUCAACUAAUUAAGCCCCCUAAACUAAUAAUGAACUAAUCAAAAAAUUAAAAAUCAAUCAGUAAUAUAAGCAGUUUCAAAAAAAAAAAUUCAGUUUUUACUUCUCCUUCUUCAAACUCUUUGGGAGUGAAAUAAUGCUAUGUUGAACAACUUCAACAUCACAACACAACCACAGAUCCUCCAGCCGCUGCCCACCACGUCCGCGACGCACCCCUGUGCACCGCUCCUCCGGCCGCCGGCCGCUUGCCUUAUUCGCGAGCCCAACGCGCCUCUGGUAACCACAGCGCCGCCACUGGUCCUUGCUUGUAUCCACCCCGCGCUCGACCCCAAGCGUCGCCACUCCCCACUCUGGCAUCGCCGCCCUUGGUCGCCCUUCUUGCAGCAACCGCGCCUCCGUCCUUGUCUGGCGUCACUCAGAUCUGGAUUCAACAGUGAAACCGCCACUAGGAACAACAACAAUAGCAGUAUGGGUCUGGUCUUUUGCAUCCUGGGGAUCAGAUUAUGGGUGAGGUUGGGGGUGGUGGGUUAGGUUGGAGGCGGUGGCUGUGGGUGUUGAAGAUGAGGUUGGGGAUCGAACACUGCCCCAAUUCCAUUGCUUCUUCUCUCCUCCGUCCAAAUUGUUCAAUUCUUUUGCAGCAAAUUCAUAUCAGAAUCUCUGGUUGUGGCUUAAUUUGCUGCUGAAGUGGGAAUUUGGAUAAAGGCCGUGGAGUGUUAUCUUGAUGAAAUUGAAGAAGUGUUGUUUGUCUAUUUAAAGACUAAGUCUUAUCACCCUGUCUUGAUUCUUUGUGUUGCGAAUGGGUCCUGUGUUUGUAAUUGCUUGAAGGUUGUAGUUUUUGUAUUUUGAAACAGUGUUUAUCCAAGUGUGGGAACCAGCUCUUGUAGUUUUCCUUUUC